rnacentral:rRNA from 1 species
UUGGAGGGCAAGUCUGGUGCCAGCAGCCGCGGUAAUUCCAGCUCCAAUAGCGUAUAUUAAAGUUGCUGCAGUUAAAAAGCUCGUAGUUGAAUUUCGGGACUAUCAUGUCGGUCGUGCCUCGGUACGUACUGGUAUUGUUGGUUUCUCCCUCCUGACGAACCAUGAUGUCAUUUAUUUGGUGUUGUGGGGAAUCAGGACUGUUACUUUGAAAAAAUUAGAGUGUUUAAAGCAGGCUCACGCUUGAAUACAUUAGCAUGGAAUAAUGAAAUAGGACGUUUGAUUCUAUUUUGUUGGUUUCUAGGAUCGACGUAAUGAUUAAUAGGGAUAGUUGGGGGCAUUAGUAUUCAAUUGUCAGAGGUGAAAUUCUUGGAUUUAUUGAAGACUAACUACUGCGAAAGCAUUUGCCAAGGAUGUUUUCAUUAAUCAAGAACGAAAGUUAGGGGAUCGAAGACGAACAGAUACCGUCGUAGUCUUAACCAUAAACUAUGCCGACUAGGGAUCGGAUGAUGUUAAUUUUUUAAUGACUCAUUCGGCGCCUUACGGGAAAC